ensembl:lncRNA
GGUCCCGGGACGAUGAGAGCGGAGCUCCCGGUGUUGUACAGUGAACGUUAACACGCGCUGCACCUCUCCCUCCCCGUCGAGUCAGGUCCGAAGCGGCGCUAACUGCGCCCGAGCGGAGGUAGGAGCUCUGCUCGCCGAACCGGCGCUCACGUUUGGCUGUCCGGAGCCGCUAGAAGGUGGGGGUGGUGGGGCUGCAGGGACCCCCCAGGGCCGUGAGGUCUCGAAUUGGGCGGUGGGGGGCAGAGGCGGCUCCCGUCGGGGCUGCGGCAUCUCGGGGGUGACAGCGGUUCGAUCCCUUUUCAUUCCGUCUUACAACAACUAAACUGCGAGCGGACCGAAACGCGGCUCCACCGCUCCCGGUUCGAUCUCAAACCGUUCGGGGAAAGCUUUGCCGGGCGGCAAAGGGGUGAAAUUCGGAGCAAACAGUGGAGAGCUAUGCUGAUUUCAGUCCUCGCUGCGGGAGGAAAAAGAGUGGUGGUUCUACCCGUGAAAUGCUGUGCUUUGGUGGGUGCUUGCAAAACUACCACUUGCAAACCCCGGAUUAAAAAGAAAACUGAUGUAAUUUUAAAGCCCGCCAACUGCCUUAGCGACUGUAUCAGAAGAUUAAAAACAAAGGUUUCAUUGAAGCGCUACCUCCCACUGUGCAGCUGAAAGUCUUAUGGCGGAGGCAAAUGGUCCUAAAUAUCUCUCUGCUAAGUACAAAUUACAUACUGGAUAUAUUAAGUUGUAAUGGUGCAUUUUCGGGAGUCACUUUGCUUGUGUGAGAGCAUCAGUUAAGACUCCAAAAAUGCUGACUGCGUGGCACAUGGACGCAAAAAGGAAUUUGACUUUCACAAAAAAUGUUUUGUUCAUAUUAAAUGCUUUUUGCCUCUGCCUCCCCCCAUCCCCUGGCUCAGCCUGGAAUCUCAAAUGCCAGACCCAGUGUGUACAGUAAGUUUCUCUGAAAUCCGUGGCAGAGAAAUAGUAUCCUAGCCUGGCAAGCUACUGUCUGCACUUGCAUUCCUACUCUUCGCCCCUCUGUGCUAGGGCUCGUAGGAGCCCUUCGGAUCGGCUGAAAUGUAUCCGAAUAAAGAUGCUCUAGAAAAUGUCUUUUUAAUGUGGAGUUAUUUUCCAUUUCCAUUGGCAAUAUCCUUUAACUCAGUACACGUGCUGUAAUGCUUCACUUAAUAGAAACAUUCGCAUAAAACUUAAUGAUUAGCCUUCAUUCUGCUCCCACAUGAUCAAUAAAAUGCUAAGCUAAUACCGAAAGUGCAAAAGUGUCUAUGAGUGUGCAUAAACUUGUGUUACAGUGUUGGAUGUAGGUAAAUAGUAUCUAUGGGA